GGAGAGAUGGCCGAGUGGUUGAAGGCGGCGGCCUCGAAAGCCGUUGUAGUGCUUGCGCUACCCCGGGUUCGAAUCCCGGUCUCUCCGCCA
rnacentral:tRNA from 1 species